ACUUUCCUGUGGUCCGGCUGGUAGAUCUUUGCGCUAACAAUUCAAAGGUUGUGGGUUUAAAUCCCAGGGAAAGCA